rnacentral:rRNA from 1 species
AUUGAACGCUGGCGGCAGGCUUAACACAUGCAAGUCGAACGAGUGGCGGACGGGUGAGUAAUGCUUGGGAAUCUCGCUUAUGGAGGGGGAUAACUACGGGAAACUGUAGCUAAUACCGCGUACCAUAGGAUGAGCCCAAGUGGGAUUAGGUAGUUGGUGAGGUAAAGGCUCACCAAGCCAACGAUCUCUAGCUGGUCUUAGGGGAUGACCAGCCAGUCUGGGACUGAGACACGGUCACGACUCCUACGGGAGGCAGCAUUGGGGAAUAUUGCACGAUGGGCGCGAGCCUGAUGCAGCCAUGCCGCGUGUGUGAAGAAGGCCUUCGGGUUGUAAAGCACUUUCAGCGAGGAGGCGUUACUCGGAGAAGAAGAACCGGCUAACUCCGUGCCAGCCGCCGCGGUAAUUA